rnacentral:rRNA from 1 species
GACGAACGCUGGCGGCGUGCUUAACACAUGCAAGUCGAACGAUGAAGCUAGAGCUUGCUCUGGUGAAUUAGUGGCGAACGGGUGAGUAACACGUGAGUAACCUGCUCCGAACUCUGGGAUAACUGCUGGAAACGGUAGCUAAUACUGGAUACGACCUACGAAGGCAUCUUAUGUAGGUGGAAAGAAUUUCGGUUCGGGAUGGACUCGCGGCCUAUCAGCUUGUUGGUGAGGUAAUGGCUCACCAAGGCGACGACGGGUAGCCGGCCUGAGAGGGUGACCGGCCACACUGGGACUGAGACACGGCCCAGACUCCUACGGGAGGCAGCAGUGGGGAAUAUUGCACAAUGAGCGCAAGCCUGAUGCAGCAACGCCGCGUGAGGGAUGACGGCCUUCGGGUUGUAAACCUCUUUUAGUAGGGAAGAAGCGAAAGUGACGGUACCUGCAGAAAAAGCACCGGCUAACUACGUGCCAGCCGCCGCAGUAA